rnacentral:rRNA from 1 species
UACGUAGGGCGGCAAGCGUUUGUCCGGAAUUAUUGGGCGUAAAGAGCUCGUAGGCGGUCUGUCGCGUCGGCUGUGAAAACCCGGGGCUCAACCCCGGGCCUGCAGUCGAUACGGGCAGACUAGAGUGUGGUAGGGGGAGACUGGAAUUCCUGGUGUAGCGGUGGAAUGCGCAGAUAUCAGGAGGAACACCGGUGGCGAAGGCGGGUCUCUGGGCCGAUACUGACACUGGAGGAGCGAAAGCGUGGGGAGCGAACAGG